ensembl:lncRNA
CACACACACACACACAUAUAUAUAUAUAUAUACACAUACACUCAUAUACUCAUAUAUACACAUACUAACUGAGAAACUGUAAAAUGUGAUGUAUUACAAUUUCUGUAGCUCAGAAAUUGUACUUUUUUAUAUACUUUUUAAUUUCAUCCUUUUUUUAAAUAAAAAUAAAGUUUUGAAAAGUAAGCAUGCAUGUGUGCAUGCAAAAAAGCAUUUUGUGUUAACCCUUUCACACAGUACACUGGUGCUUAUUUCCACCGCUGUAUUGGAAAUGAACUUUUGUCAUUUUCAAUUAGUUUUUAUUCAAGUGACAAUUAUUUUAUCGCAACAACUCUGUUAUGAGAUUGUUCAGGACCCUGUUGGGUUUCUGUAUGUAAAGUACAACCAAUAGCAUUGGUAUACAAGGACACAACAACUAAAUCCUUUUUGAUAGUAAAACACUGUAUACCACUGCCACAAUAAAAAUAUAAUAAUAAAACGUCUAGGCAAUGUCUAAAAGAAACACAGAAACUGCAAAUUCUUAAAGCCCUGAGUGUCUACUUUCAUACAUGCCAUUAACCACUACUGUGUAGUGUGACAGCACAAACAAAUUCAGUGCUGAACAUGCAUGGGCACCUCCAAAACGCACAGAAAUUCUAUUUUCUGUCCUCUGGUACAUAUGAAAGUGUUAGCUGCCACUUUGUAGACAUACUUUACACAAAGACUUCAUUGGGAUUAUAUUACAACCCCAAUUCCAAAAAAGUUGGGACAGUAUGGAAAAUGCAAAAAAAAGAAACCCAAUAGAGUUUUUUGAAAAUUCACUGCACCCGAUACUGUAUUGAAGACACAUUAUUUGAUAUUUUAUUUUGUGAAUUUAAUUUAUAUUUGAAAAUAUACACUCAUUUCAAAUUUGCUGACUGCAACACACCAAAGAAGUUGGGACAGUUGACUGUUUAACACUGUAACAUCACCUUGUCUUUUAACACUUAUUGAUCUUUUAGGCACUGAAGACACCAGUUGGUUAAGUUUAGCAAAUGGAAUUUCCCCCAUUCAUCCAUUAUGCAUUUCUUCAGCUGUGCAACUGUACAGGGCCUACAUUGCCUUAUUUUGUGCUUCAUAAUGCACCCCACAUUCUCAAUCGGAGACAGGUCAGGACUCUAGGCAGGCCAUGCUAGCACCCGCACUCUCUGCUUACACAACCAUGUGCUUGUAAUCCGGGCAGAAUGUGGUUUGCCGUUGUCCUUCUCUGAAUGGCAGCAUAUGUUGCUCAAAAAUGUGUACAUAUGUAACGGGUAUGGAAAACAUUCCAGAAAUUUAACGUGUAGAAUUACACAAAAAGGAGAUGUGUACCUGGUGUGACUGUUUGUGUGAGUGCUUUCCCUUUUGGUUGUCUUGAGGUCAUUGGUUUGUGUAAUUUCCUGUUUUGGCUCCCCCUCUUCCCUUUCUGCGUCACGGCAACAAGUGUAACUGGUUGUAGUCUGCGUUGUGUGUUUUAUUUAAUCCAGAAAAAAUGUAGUCGGACAGCAACUGGGUCGACUCUUUGUUUAUUCUCUCCCAUUCAACCAUCAUGCGAAAGGGCACAUGUUGAAACAAACAAAAAAAACUCAAAAGAAGGGUAAAACAACAAAAAUAAUCACACAGAAAUAAAAUAACACUAUACACACAAACUAAAAUGGGUAUACAAUUGUACAAAAUUAUGAUUUAAAUAAAGAUUAAACAAAAUUACCACGAACUGAAAACCAAACCUACCUCUCCCAUUCAACCAUAACGCAAAAGGGAAGUGGAGGAGCCAAAACAGGAAAUUACACAAACCAAUGACAUCAUGGCAGUUAAAAGGAAAAAUACUCAAACAGCCAAUUCAGAUACAAGUUACUCAUGCCAUGGGCACUGACAGACCUCCAUACCAUGACAGACACUGGAUUUUGGACUUGACACUGAUAACAGCUUGAAUGGUCCUUUUCCUCCUUGGCCUGGAGAACAGCCAUCGGCUGUUUUGUCCAAAAACUAUGAAAUGUUGACUCGUCGGACCAAAAAACACGAUUCCACUGUGCUACUGUCCAUCUCAGAUGAGACCGAGCCCAGAAAAGUCAGCAGCGCUUCUGGACAGUGUUGAUAGUGACUGGCAGGGCUUUGCAUAGUAAAGCACUAACUUGCAUCUGUGGAUGCAGUGGCGAACGGUGUUGUCUGACAAAGGUUUACCAAAGUAUUCCCGAGCCCAUGUCAGGAAAUCCAUUACAGACUCAUGACGGUUUUUAAGACGAUGUCUGAGGGACUGGAGAUCACACACAUUCAGAAGUGGUUUUCCACCUUGGCCUUACGCACCGAGAUUUGAUUGAAUUCCUUGAAUCUUUUAAUUAUAUUGUGCAAUGUAGAAGGUGAAAUGCCCAAAAUCCUAUCGAUUUGUCUUUGGGGAAUGUUGUUCUUAAAGUGUUGGAUUAUUUGCUGCUACACCUAUUAGCAAAUUGGUGAGCCUCAACCCAUCCUUACUCUUGAAGGACUAGGCCCUUUUUGGCGGCUGCUUAUAUACUAUGAUUAAACGAUUGCCUCACCUGUUUCAUAUCACGUUAUUUCAACUUGUCACAUCCAAAUUAGUCUUAAAUUGCACCUAUUCCAACUUUUUGGGAAUGUGUUGCACGCAUCAAUUUCAAAACAAACGCUUAUCUUCAAAGAAAAAAACAACAACUAUGCAGUUGAUUAGUUAAAACAUGAAAUACCUUGUCUUUAUAUAUAUAUGUUUUUGUUUAAAUACAAGUCAAAGUACAUUUGCAAAUCACUCCUCUUCAUUUUUUAUCAGCAUUUUACAUACUGUCCCAACUUUUUCGGAAUUGGGGUUGUACUUUCACACUUGAUUUAUUUUAAAAAGAGUUAUAGGGAUAUUUAUUUUAAUAUUUAUAUAAAUACAUACCACUAGAUAUAUGUAUAAUGUAUUUUAAGCAAGGUGGUUGACAUUUUGUAUCGGUACUGUAAAUAUUCACAAUAUUAUACAUUGUAUUCAGGUUUUAUGAGUGCUAAAAAAAGAAAUCGUCAAAUAUAUAUAUUUUUUACUGUCAUGUAAUAUCAUAUCAUAUCAUAUCAUAUAAUAACUGAGACAAUACAGAAGCUCUGCACAGUGCCUACAUAAAGUGCAAGAUAAGAGGCAGUACAGGCAGAACAUCAGAAGAAGAAUAAAGAUAGAUACUAGAGGCACAUUGUAAAAUGGUAAAUUAUAAAUUGAAUUGAUAGCAUGUCUCCUCUUAGUCUGUAGUAGUAAAAUGCCAAAACCCAAUAGAAAGAUUAUUUAACAGUUUUGUCCAAUCACAAUCGCUGCAUUAUCUGAUCUAUACAGGUGUAUCUAAAAAAAAUUAGAAUAUCAAGGUAAAGUAAUUUUUUCCCCGUAAUUUAAUUCAAAAAGUGAAACUUUCAUAUAUUUUACAUUCAUUCAUUCAAUCCACAUAGACUGAAAUAUUUCAAGCCUUUUUUUGUUUUAAUUUUGAUGAUUAUGGCUUACAGCUCAUGGAAAUCAAAAAUCCAGUAUCUCAAAUUAUUACAAUAAUAUAUAUAUAUACCCCUGCACAUUCGUGCAAUUAUCCAAUCAGACAAUCAAACGGCAGCAACACAGUGUAACAGUUAAUGUUCACAUCAAACAGCAGAAUGGGGAAAUAUGAUCUUAAUGACUUUGACCUUGAGAACAGUCUCUAGAAUUUACACAGAAUGGUGCAAAAAACAACAAAAUUUCCAUUGAGUGGCAGUUCAGCAGGUGGAAACGCCUUGUUAAUGAGUGAGGUCAGAGGAAAAUGAACAGAAUUAAUGCAUGUUAUUCAGCAACUAAAGGUUCGGCAUGUUGUUGUUUUUUGUUUUUGCACCAUUCUGUGUAAACUCUAGAAACGGUGUGUGACAAUCCCAGGAAGUCAGCAGCAUCUGAAAUACCAUCCAUCUGGCACCAACAGCCAUGCCACUGUCAAAGUCACAGAGACGACAUUUUUCUCCAUUCUGAUUUUUUUCGACGUGAACAUUAACUGAAGCUCUUGCGGCAGAUGAUUAGCCGAUGGGAUAAUUGCAUACAGGUGUUCCUGUUAAAAUGGCCAGUUAGUGUACACUAAUUUAUAGGGCAAUACAUGUCAGUUUUUUUUAUGAACUUUUUAAACCACACUUACUAGUGUGGAAACAUGAAAUCGCACUGUUUUUAGAAUUUUCCUCA